UAACRUAGAGCUUGAAUAGUUAAGCUGCUCAUUUACAUUGAGUGUAUACUUGUGCGAGUCAAGUUAUGUUAA
rnacentral:tRNA from 1 species